UGGGGAAUUUUGGACAAUGGGCGCAAGCCUGAUCCAGCCAUGCCGCGUGUCUGAAGAAGGCCUUCGGGUUGUAAAGGACUUUUGUCAGGGAAGAAAAGGCUGUUGCUAAUAUCAGCGGCUGAUGACGGUACCUGAAGAAUAAGCACCGGCUAACUACGUGCCAGCAGCCGCGGUAAUACGUAGGGUGCAAGCGUUAAUCGGAAUUACUGGGCGUAAAGCGAGCGCAGACGGUUACUUAAGCAGGAUGUGAAAUCCCCGGGCUCAACCUGGGAACUGCGUUCUGAACUGGGUGACUAGAGUGUGUCAGAGGGAGGUAGAAUUCCACGUGUAGCAGUGAAAUGCGUAGAGAUGUGGAGGAAUACCGAUGGCGAAGGCAGCCUCCUGGGAUAACACUGACGUUCAUGCUCGAAAGCGUGGGUAGCAAACAGGAUUAGAUACCCUGGUAGUCCACGCCCUAAACGAUGUCAAUUAGCUGUUGGGCAACUUGAUUGUUCAGUAGCGUAGCUAACGCGUGAAAUUGACCGCCCGGGGAGUACGGUCGCAAGAUUA
rnacentral:rRNA from 1 species